GACGAACGCUGGCGGCGUGCCUAAUACAUGCAAGUCGAGCGAACAGACGAGGAGCUUGCUCCUCUGACGUUAGCGGCGGACGGGUGAAUCACACGUGGAUAACCUACCUAUAUGACUGGGAUAACUUCGGGACACCGGAGCUAAUACCGGAUAAUCUCUUGAACCGCAUGGUUCAAUAAUGAAAUCCGGUUUUGCUGCCCCUGCUGGCUGGCUCCGUGCCGCAUUAGUUAGUUGGUAAGGUAACGGCUUACCAAGGCGACGAUGCGUAGCCGACCUGAGAGGGUGAUCGGCCACACUGGAACUGAGACACGGUCCAGACUCCUACGGGAGGCAGCAGUAGGGAAUCUUCCGCAAUGGGCGAAAGCCUGACGGAGCAACGCCGCGUGAGUGAUGAAGGUCUUCGGAUCGUAAAACUCUGUUAUUAGGGAAGAACAAAUGUGUAAGUAACUAUGCACGUCUUGACGGUACCUAAUCAGAAAGCCACGGCUAACUACGUG
rnacentral:rRNA from 1 species